CAUCACUACGCUAGAUGCAUAUCAAUAAGGCGGAGGAAAAGAAACUAACUAGGAUUCCCUCAGUAACGGCGAGUGAAGCGGGAAGAGCUCAAAUUUGAAAUCUUCAAGGUUCUACCUUGACGAAUUGUAGUUUAAAGAAGUGUUUUCUGUUGGAGUUUUGGUAAAAGUUCUUUGGAAUAGGACAUCAUAGAGGGUGAGAAUCCCGUAUUUGACCAUUAUUUCCAACUUUGUGAUACACUUUCAAAGAGUCGGAUUGUUUGGGAAUGCAGUCCAAAAUGGGUGGUAAAUUUCAUCUAAAGCUAAAUACUGGCGAGAGACCGAUAGCGAACAAGUACCGUGAGGGAAAGAUGAAAAGAACUUUGAAAAGAGAGUUAAACAGUACGUGAAAUUGUCAAAAGGGAAGCGUUUGACACCAGUGUUGUUUAGUUGAAAAUCAAUUCAAUAAUUUUUGAUUUUGAGUAGUAUUGACUUCAUCAGCUUGCUGCUUUCUUUUCAGAAAUUAUUGAAUGCACCUUUCAGCUAACAAGUCAACAUCAAUUUCUUUUGUUGUAAAAGGGUAAGAGGAAGGUGGCUUACGCUUCGGCGUAAGUGUUUAUAGCCCUUUACCUCUGCAAUCGGAGAGAUUGAGGACAGCAGCGUAGACUCUUCGGGGUUAGAUACACUUGUGCUAAGCUAUAGCCUUGUAUAGACAACUUGUUGACUAUGCUCAGUCAUGUAGCUUACUCGCUUGUGCUAUUUUACCUACGCUUAGGAUGUUGACGAGACUGUCGAUCUC
rnacentral:rRNA from 1 species